CUUACAACGUCUGAUUACAACAAAUAGUCUAGUAAAGAGUCAUAUAAAACUCUUCGGGAGGCAACAGGAGCGAAUUUGGAUCAAAAGGAGCAGUGCAUUCCCUUGGAGCUGAACGGGUGAGAGUCGUUCGCACGAUACAGGGAGAAAUGAGUGGAUUAUAAAAUGAUCUGUUGGAUCUACCUUCAGAGAGGAUAAUCACGGCUUCCAGGGCAGUUUUUCAGAAGUCUAGGACUUGUGAUGCUGGGCUUCUGUUGAUGUGCACUUGAGGGCCCAUGAGAUAGAGUAUUAACAAACAUUCUUUAAUUUUGUAAGAAUCAUUGAGAGGCACAUUAAUGCUACAGGGUCUGUACUCGAUUUCAAUUCAACAUCAGCUUAGUUUAUGUAAGGGACUCAUCUUCAUUAGUUUUCAUCAAAUAAUACAGUAAAUACAGAGCAAAGAGACACUGGCCAAAUAUACAAGCUUUAGUGAUAUCGCUCUCAUUUCAUCAUCAUAAUCCUAUGGCCUCAGCCGAGAGGGCUCAAGAUGACCCUGAGGUCUUUUAUUGCACUUGGCAUGUCCAUUACAAACUCACCAUGAUUGUGCAUUGCAUAAAAUUAAAGGUUUACUCACUUA